CUUGGUCAUUUAGAGGAAGUAAAAGUCGUAACAAGGUUUCCGUAGGUGAUCCUGCGGAAGGAUCAUUACAGAGUUCAUGCUCUUCGGGGUAGAUCUCCCACCCUUGUGUAUCAUUAUAGAAUGUUGCUUUGGCGGGCCGCGCCUAGUGUGCCUGGAUUCGCGUCCAGCGUGCCCGCCAGAGGACCCCUAAACUCUGAAUGUUAGUGUCGUCUGAGUACUAUUAAAUAGUUAAAACUUUCAACAACGGAUCUCUUGGUUCUGGCAUCGAUGAAGAACGCAGCGAAAUGCGAUAAGUAAUGUGAAUUGCAGAAUUCAGUGAAUCAUCGAAUCUUUGAACGCACAUUGCGCCCCCUGGUAUUCCGGGGGGCAUGCCUGUUCGAGCGUCAUUUAUACCAAUCUAGCCUGGCUAGGUGUUGGGCUUCGCCGUCUGGCGGGCCUUAAAACUAGUGGCGGUGCUCUUAGGCUCUACGCGUAGUAAUUUUCUCGCUAUAGGGUCCUGGGAGAUGCUUGCCAGCAACCCCAAAUUUUUCUAGGUUGACCUCGGAUCAGGUAGGGAUACCCGCUGAACUUAAGCAUAUCAAUAAGCGGAGGA
rnacentral:rRNA from 1 species